UGCCACAGCUCGCAACAUAAAUAUCGAUAACUUCACGGUCUCACAUUACUAAACUAUCGGUCAUCACUAAGACAAAAACGUAAACAAAGCCAAAAAUUUACAAAUAUUGACGGAAAAAUGGAUUACAUUUGGUGGCUACCGGUGACCUAGCCAAGCGCUCCCACCCAACCAUGGGUGCCCUCGAGGUGCUGCAGGGCACCAUCCAUUCUCUGUCGGCAGGAACCCCCUCCUCGCGACUACGGUGGUUCCAUCUCCCUCACUGGGAAAGUUUACUCACACAUUGUGGGUUUUACAAAGGUUUAAUAAAUAUCCCUUCAAGACCGAAACCUGGCCGCCGUCUUCAACAUUUACGCGGUCAAAGCAGAGGAUUGGUUUUGCUGGAAAAGGGUACAGGCGGAAACUAUGCUCUACCAGUCAUGUAUUGGUAGAGCUCGCAUGGAAACGCGGCCCUCAAAGGAACAUACGCGAUGCGUAUGUGUAUGGUCACCUAAUCCUGAGGAGCUCCAAGGGAAAAGAAGGGACAGGCCAAAAAGUUUUAGGCAAACAACGAGGACAAAUAAGGCUCUCGGGUCUAACUCCGGAUAAAUUCACAAACAGGGAAGUAGAUAUCAAUAUAUAUAUAAUCAAGGUACACGUGUAUUUAAAUUUUCCUAAGUUUCAGCCACUAUUGGGCCGGGCCUGGAGGCAAUGAUAGCCCGGGCGGAAGACUUCUCGCCGGAGGCCAGCAGCGAUACGGAUCUCCACACAGGAAAACGGCGCUCUCCGGUGAGUUGUGCAAUGGCAGUCCGAGAUUCGGCUGCCAGACAAAAUGGCGAUACCUCUCAGCGCCGCGAUGCGACCUCUGGAAGUUCCCGAGAUGAGGAGGACGCGGCACACCGGAACGGACUCACCGGGAAAUUCCUGAUGUCGUCGGCGUCGACUGUGAAAGGCUUCUCUUGCUGGUCGUUGAUACGGGUCGAACGGACACCGUUUGCUGGGCAGCCAAGUCGGACUGGCAGGUAUGGCGAAGUCGCGCAGAUGUCGGCAGAACUCCAAAUAAAUAUUCCGGGGCCCUUUGUAUUGGGACCCCGGCUGCCUUUAUAAAUUAUAAAUAUUAAACACUGAACUACUAUCUAACAUUAACCUCACUCACUAUUUAAUUUUAAGCACAAAGACAAAUUUGAAGUUUCCCGUCUAGCUGCAUCUACCUGGCUGGACAGUAUG